GGAAGAACAAGUGCCGUUCGAAUAGGGCGGCGCCUUGACGGUACCUAACCAGAAAGCCACGGCUAACUACGUGCCAGCAGCCGCGGUAAUACGUAGGUGGCAAGCGUUGUCCGGAAUUAUUGGGCGUAAAGCGCGCGCAGGUGGUUUCUUAAGUCUGAUGUGAAAGCCCACGGCUCAACCGUGGAGGGUCAUUGGAAACUGGGGAACUUGAGUGCAGAAGAGGAAAGUGGAAUUCCAAGUGUAGCGGUGAAAUGCGUAGAUAUUUGGAGGAACACCAGUGGCGAAGGCGACUUUCUGGUCUGUAACUGACACUGAGGCGCGAAAGCGUGGGGAGCAAACAGGAUUAG
rnacentral:rRNA from 2 species